CGGCUAAAAACCAAGUAACAGACAAAGCAAGAAACAAAACACAGUAAAUUCAUCAGUCCAAGCCUCAAAUCCUUGUUUGGAGCCCAUCAUGCUGAAACUUCUUCUGUAAUCAGAUCAGCAGCUUCUCAAUGGCAUCCUUCAGUUGGUGUAUCUGUGAUUUGAGCUGGCUGCCUUCAUUGCUAGUUACUGAACAAGCAAUCACAGGCCUUGUCACUCCACAAGCCCGACCAAGAGCUUGUUUUGAUGGAACAAAGACAUAAGGCACAUUCUUAUCCUCCGCAAGUAGGGGGAGAUGGAGAAGGAUUUCAAGCGGCUCAGUAUCAGCCGCCAUCACAACAAACUCCGAGAUUCCCCUGUUCAGAGUCUUCGUUGCUUCAUUUGCUCCUUUCUUCAACUGCUUGUAAUUGGCCGCCUGCUGGAUGAGAUCCAUGAUUGUGAUUGUCAGCUGAGCGUCCGCCAAGGGGUACGCCUUCGGAUUCACCUCAUCGGUAGUCAUUUCUUCGCGAUGGAUCGCUGAUCGUACGAUGCGGCGGCGGCGGCGGCGGCG
rnacentral:misc_RNA from 1 species